AUGAUGAGAAAAGUUGUUAUGGACAGUGGUGCAAAGUACAUAGCAUUGGGAAGGCCUGCUCUCCCCGUGAGUUUCCUAUUGCCAAAGUAUUCCAAAGAGAAGCAUUAUGUAUCUAAGAAAAGAAAAGAGGCGAAACAUCCCAGAGGAUGGCGUGUGAACACAGGAGCACCCUGUGGGAAGAGUAGGGAAGCUGAAAUGAUCUCCUGCCAUUUCAGAAGAUGGAGGAAUGUGGCUGGAGAGGAAAAUGGGCAGGAGGAUUCACGAGACUCUGUCAUGGCAGCAGAGCCUGCAUGCUCGUGUUGGCCAUUUCUCAGAUGGAGAAUAUGCCACGGAGAGGUUCCCUUUAGCAAGAGAGGCAGAGGCUCCCUUUCUCAGGUCUUUCAAGGUGCUCUCUGCCGUCCUUCAAAACGUUUACCCGGGAGGAUGGGCCAAGAGAAGCUCCAUCCGUGCUUCAUCCCACCCCCACCCCUUGACUCUCAGCCCAUGUCCAGUCAGGUGAGGUGCCCAGAGUACCUCCCGAGCAGCACCACCGCCUUGCUGACAGUGACUGUGUGUCCCCUAGCAACCCUCGAUGAUGUUGUGGAGGCCGGCGGGAGUGAGAAGACGGAGGAAGAGGCCCUGGCUGGGGCAAAUGAGGAGGAGGUGGGGCCGGGAACUGAGAAGGUGCAGGAGGAGGCUGCCUGCAUUGACGAGGCAGAGGAGGAGGCAGGCCCAUCCCUUGAAAAUGACGAGGAGUCCCCAGCCAGCGACCUGGUUGAGCAGGAAGACCAGCUUGCCCCCAAGGUGGACGGGAUGGACGAUGAAAGCCUAUGUUUCAUGGAGAGUCUGAGUGACAGCAACCAUGAUGAAAGUGAUACAGACUCAGUGGUGGAGAGCCUGAGCAGCCGCCAGGAUGAGGAGGCUGCAGACUCCUCUGGGACACCUUGAAGCCUCAGCCUGGGACUGGAAGAGUCCAAAAGUUUCCAUCUUGACCAGGAUACAAGAUUGACCUCACUCUUCAUCUAUUACGAGCCAACUUUAGUAUAAGCUUAGUUCUUUAUUGUCUAGAUUUAGUAUUAAGUUCUGAUACAUGUUUACUACUUGGUAUAUAAGAUUUUGGUAGAAUGUAAGAUUGUGUAUUAAAUAAUUGUUACCUAUCCAUUUGCUUUUUUUAAAACUAGUUUUCGAUAAAAUAAACACAGGUAUAGGAAAGCCCCCUUAAGCAGAGGUAGAACUUAAUGCACUGGAGUCAGGCAGUCACC
rnacentral:lncRNA from 9 species